UGGGAAGCUCCUUUGGGCCUUUCUUCCUGUUUGGAGUCAAACCUGAGAGAGAGAACAUGAGGCCAGCGUUUGUUUGGUGUUUCAGUCGGCACCGUCAGUGCUGUGAUCCAGGUCAGCUCCGACUGAACGAGUCCAAAAGAGAACGAGCCGGAGGAUAGUAACAGGUGUUGAAUCCCAGUGACGUUGAUGGAUUUCUGAGAAGACCCGGGGGUCGACUGCGCUGCCCAAUCACACCAGCACGCUGCGGACCUCCACUUGUUAUGGACAAGCUGCUGACCUGCAACCACGCAACCUUGAUCUGCGAUUAUACAACCACGACCUGACACGUAUGGCCUCGGGAGGGAUGUCAUGGAAAAGCUCUCAGCGUUUCCCGCAGCACUGUUCCCACUGCAGGCCGACGCGCUCGGAGGCCUCUGGUUUCCCUUUGUAACUUCACAGACGCUGAAUCUUAGCCGGUUCUAUAAAACCCGGUCUUUAAAUGCGAGGCGGGCAGCAGGUGGGGGCUCCAUGCCAUGCCAGGAAUGCUGAGCAGGGGGAAGGACUCGGUGGGGGCGUAAAGAUGCCCAUUGGCACCGUGGAGGAGACCUCUGUGGAGCUGCUGUUUCAGGCUGCACGGCCAGUGGGAACGAGCUCGGCUCAGAGUCUCUACAUGUGAACCUGUCACUCUUGCAAUCUGGACGCUUGGUGGGGAAGGAGGGGUGUGUGUAUAGGGGGUGGAUUUAGACCAUUAGUUCUGGGCUGCCCAGGCACACACUCACAUGUGUGUGGAGAGUCACUGAGGUCUUUCUGCUAAUUAUAGGCUGAAAUCUGACAGAGAAAAAUUAGAGGGAAAAGGGACAGCUGCAGGGUCCUGUGGACAACGAAGGGAAGAGGAGAAGAGGGGGGAGGGGGUUUUGAUUUCUCACUAAAUCCUCCAACCCCCUCCUUGAGCCGAAAAACAAAAUUCAAUCAUCUUGGUGUCCUCCUCGCUCCCUUAUCCCCUCUCAACCCCACUCUCUCCCUCGUCCUCUCAGACAGGAGGUCGGGGGUCACUCCCAGAUGGGAUCAGAGCAGGUUUCACGGGACGUCCCAUCUUUUCCCUGAACUAAUGCUGUUUUCUAGGGGGAGCUUAGGCAGCAGCAGGAGCAGGAUUCUGAGACCUCCCCGGUGUGAAACUGGUCAGAUCAACCACUAGCGUAUCACGCACACA